rnacentral:rRNA from 1 species
GUGGGGAAUCUUCCGCAAUGGACGAAAGUCUGACGGAGCGACGCCGCGUGAGUGAAGAAGGCCUUCGGGUCGUAAAGCUCUGUCAUCAGGGACGAAUGGCCGGUGGAGUGGAAAGCCACCGGAUUGACGGUACCUGAGAAGGAAGCCACGGCUAACUACGUGCCAGCAGCCGCGGUAAUACGUAGGUGGCACGCGUUGUCCGGAAUUAUUGGGCGUAAAGCGCGCGCAGGUGGGAUCUUAAGUCCAUUUUGAAAGUUCGGAGCUCAACUCCGUGAUGGGAUGGAAACUGGGAUUCUUGAGUACCGGAGAGGAAAGCGGAAUUCCCCGUGUAGCGGUGAAAUGCGUAGAUAUGGGGAGGAACACCAGUGGCGAAGGCGGCUUUCUGGACGGUGUCUGACACUGAGGCGCGAAAGCUAGGGGAGCGAACGGGAUUAGAAACCCCAGUAGUCC